rnacentral:rRNA from 1 species
AUGAACGCUGGCGGCGUGCUUAACACAUGCAAGUCGAACGAACCUUCGGGUUAGUGGCGGACGGGUGAGUAACGCGUGGGAACCUGCCCUCAGGAGGGGGAUAACGGCUGGAAACGGCCGCUAAUACCCCAUAUGCCGAGAUGUGAAAUGAAAUUCGCCUGAGGAUGGGCCCGCGUCUGAUUAGCUAGUUGGUGGGGUAAAGGCCUACCAAGGCGACGAUCAGUAGCUGGUCUGAGAGGAUGAUCAGCCACACUGGGACUGAGACACGGCCCAGACUCCUACGGGAGGCAGCAGUGGGGAAUUUUCCGCAAUGGGCGAAAGCCUGACGGAGCAACGCCGCGUGAGGGAUGAAGGCCUCUGGGCUGUAAACCUCUUUUCUCAAGGAAGAAGACCUGACGGAACUUGAGGAAUAAGCC